UACGGGGGGGGCAAGCGUUGUUCGGAAUUACUGGGCGUAAAGGGCUCGUAGGUGGCCAACUAAGUCGGACGUGAAAUCCCUCGGCUUAACCGGGGAACUGCGUCCGAUACUGGUUGGCUUGAGUUUGGGAGAGGGAUGCGGAAUUCCAGGUGUAGCGGUGAAAUGCGUAGAGAUCGGGAGGAACACCAGUGGCGAAAGCGGCUCUCUGGUCCAAAACUGACGCUGAGGGGCGAAAGCGUGGGGAGCGAACGGG
rnacentral:rRNA from 1 species